rnacentral:ncRNA from 2 species
CUGCCGGCUAUCUUCCGAGUUGCUGUUCCUAAAGCACUUCUUUUGUGCCAUGGAACGGUAUACCGGGGCAAUGAGCGGCCCAAAGGGUUUAAAAGGGAAACCUUUAAGCCUCCCUGAUGGAAAGGAAGCAAAGAAUUUUUUGU